rnacentral:misc_RNA from 1 species
GAUGAAGAACGUAGCGAAAUGCGAUAAGUAAUGUGAAUUGCAGAAUUCAGUGAAUCAUCGAAUCUUUGAACGCACAUUGCGCCCGCCAGUAUUCUGGCGGGCAUGCCUGUUCGAGCGUCAUUUCAACCAUCAAGCUCCAGGCUUGUGUUGGGGACCUGCGGCUGCCGCAGGCCCUGAAAACCAGUGGCGGGCUCGCUGUCACACCGGGCGUAGUAGAUUUUAUCUCGCUCAGGGCGUGCUGCGGGUUCCGGCCGUUAAAAAGCCUUUUUUACCCAAGGUUGACCUCGGAUCAGGUAGGAAGACCCGCUGAACUUAAGCAUAUCAAUAAGCGGAGGA